CUCUCUGGUAACGACUCCCAACGCGUACACGCGUACCAGCUCGCGAGUCGCGACGCGAACUCGCUAAUCCUGAGCCUCCGGGCCAUAGACAAGAAUACUAACGCGAACCACCGAACGCAUCGACCCGGCACAGCCGUCAAAGGUCGUCACGCUCCCGCGCCCACCUUGGUCAAUUUACGACCGGCACCAACGCUCGCUCGAGUUCCGCCGCACGUUUUGCCGACGAUGUUCGGUUCCGGACUACACCGUCGUUACCACCGCUGCACAACUCUCUCCGCUCUUCUCUGUAAUAAUUAAUAACUUCUUUCGGCUCAAUAAAUUACAAAUUAUAUCUCAAUUCAAGUUCAACGUGUUACAUACUCUCUUCAUCCCAAACCAUCUACCUACAGCGUCAUAUUUCAGAAACAUAAAUGGGACUAAAUACGAUGUUGUUUAGGCGUCGACUGAUGAGGUCACUAGUCACUUUACUUCAUACCGCGAUCUCGGUUGACGCAAUAUUUUUCCGGAGAUUUGUGAUUUGUUAUACUUUAUCGUGAAAUAGUGUAAACUGUAAAGUAAUACCCAGUGUUUAUUGCGUACCUACUCAAAAGUGAAACCUGUUGUCUUGUUUGGUGUUACUGUCGUUAACCAUGGAUCAGUAUAGUCAAGAGCCUGAAGCUGAUCUAUUAGAAAUAGGCAUUUCCUACAGUUCGGACUACGUUGUGCCUAUUCUACCACCUCAAGUACAGAUCCAAGCAUUCAAAGCUCAAUCGAUUAUUAAACCUGUCGGCUGUCAUGGAGAGAAAACCGAUCGAGUGGUCUAUUGAAACUUUGCUUGAUUUAUUACACACUACUAAUGAUGGCAGGUAUAUAUUCACGGACAGAAAAAUAAACAAAGUUUACCUUUCAGAGGAUUGUCAUAAUACUUUAACAAAAUAGAUUGUCAAUCAAUUGUUUCAAGAACAGU